AGAAGUAUUAGCAUUCAGGUAUGCAGUUUACUAGAAUAUUUUAUCAUUAUCUGCAUUCUUUGCCUUUACCUGUGCUAGCACAUAUCCAAACUAAUUACAUCCCAGGUCCAUGGCUUGGUGAUGUAUCUUUAUCUCCAUGAUCAUCAUGUUUACUAAUAAAUGUUUUAAGCUCAGAGGAAAGGUAGGUAGUGUUAUUUUCCUUCUCAGUGUUACGUGUUCCCUAAAAGGAGUGUGUUGUGGGUUGGCGAGACCUAGAGCAAAUUACAUCAUAGAAUAAGAGAAUUCCUCUUCUGUGCAUCUAAAACUUAUUGUUUAUAAUUAAUCUAUUUUUUAAAUCAUUUAAAUCACCCUUUAUAUAAUUUACAGGCAAA
rnacentral:misc_RNA from 1 species